AACUAACAAGGAUUCCCCUAGUAACUGCGAGUGAAGCGGGAAAAGCUCAAAUUUAAAAUCUGGCAGUCUUUGGCUGUCCGAGUUGUAAUCUAGAGAAGCAUUAUCCGCGCUGGACCGUGUACAAGUCUCCUGGAAUGGAGCGUCAUAGAGGGUGAGAAUCCCGUCUUUGACACGGACUGCCAGGGCUUUGUGAUGUGCUCUCAAAGAGUCGAGUUGUUUGGGAAUGCAGCUCAAAAUGGGUGGUAAAUUCCAUCUAAAGCUAAAUAUUGGCGAGAGACCGAUAGCGAACAAGUACCGUGAGGGAAAGAUGAAAAGAACUUUGGAAAGAGAGUUAAACAGUACGUGAAAUUGCUGAAAGGGAAACGCUUGAAGUCAGUCGCGUUGGCCGGGGAUCAACCUUGCUUUUUUGCUUGGCUUACUUCCUGGUUAACGGGUCAGCAUCAAUUUUGACUGGUGGAAAAAGUUCAAGGGAAUGUGGCAUCUUCGGAUGUGUUAUAGCCUUUGCUCGCAUACAUCGGUUGGGAUUGAGGAACUCAGCACGCCGCAAGGCCGGGUUUUUAACCACGUACGUGCUUAGGAUGCUGGCAUAAUGGCUUUAAUCGACCCGUCUUGAAACACGGACCAAGGAGUCUAACAUGCCUGCGAGUGUUUGGGUGGAAAACCCGAGCGCGUAAUGAAAGUGAAAGUUGAGAUCCCUGUCGUGGGGAGCAUCGACGCCCGGAUCAGACCUUUUGUGACGAUCCCGCGGUAGAGCAUGUAUGUUGGGACCCGAAAGAUGGUGAACUAUGCCUGAAUAGGGUGAAGCCAGAGGAAACUCUGGUGGAGGCUCGUAGCGAUUCUGACGUGCAAAUCGAUCGUCAAAUUUGGGUAUAGGGGCGAAAGACUAAUCGAACCAUCU
rnacentral:rRNA from 1 species